rnacentral:rRNA from 1 species
GACGAACCGUGCGAACGUUGUUCGGAAUCACUGGGCUUAAAGGGCGCGUAGGCGGUCUGUCAAGUCUGGGGUGAAAUCCCGCGGCUCAACCGUGGAACUGCCUCAGAUACUGACGGCCUCGAGGGAGGUAGGGGCGAGCGGAACGAAUGGUGGAGCGGUGAAAUGCGUUGAUAUCAUUCGGAACUCCGGUGGCGAAGGCGGCUCGCUGGACCUUUUCUGACGCUGAGGCGCGAAAGCUAGGGGAGCAAACGGG